rnacentral:misc_RNA from 1 species
AACAGGGCUGCGGCGGUCCGAGGUUUGCGAUCGGGGGAGACAAACGACCGGCGGAAGCCGGCCGACGCAAAAACGAGAGGGAGAGAGAGGGGCCGACGUGCGGCUGCUGGCCGAGAGGCUCAGCGACGCUGGAAUCCGCGGCGGCUGGUCACGACGGUCGGGACAGCGCCGGAAGCGACGGGCUGAGGCGAGCGGCGGAGUGGCG